CAACCUGCCGUCUACUUUUGGCCAGCCUUCUGAAAGGAAGAUUAAUCCAGGAUGGCAUCAUGAGUUCACAUGUCCGCAUGAUUAAAGGUAUUUUCCGGUAGACGAUGGGGAUGCGUUCCAUUAGAUAGUAGGCGGGGUAACGGCCCACCUAGUCAACGAUGGAUAGGGGUUCUGAGAGGAAGGUCCCCCACAUUGGAACUGAGACACGGUCCAAACUCCUACGGGAGGCAGCAGUGAGGAAUAUUGGUCAAUGGGCGAUGGCCUGAACCAGCCAAGUAGCGUGAAGGAUGACUGCCCUAUGGGUUGUAAACUUCUUUUAUAAAGGAAUAAAGUCGGGUAUGCAUACCCGUUUGCAUGUACUUUAUGAAUAAGGAUCGGCUAACUCCGUGCCAGCAGCCGCGGUAAUACGGAGGAUCCGAGCGUUAUCCGGAUUUAUUGGGUUUAAAGGGAGCGUAGAUGGAUGUUUAAGUCAGUUGUGAAAGUUUGCGGCUCAACCGUAAAAUUGCAGUUGAUACUGGAUGCCUUGAGUGCAGUUGAGGCAGGCGGAAUUCGUGGUGUAGCGGUGAAAUGCUUAGAUAUCACGAAGAACUCCGAUUG
rnacentral:rRNA from 1 species